AAGGAUGUAGACUUAGCGAUCUCAACUCCUCCCUCACUACUUCAACCCAGAAGAUGCCAACAUAUUCAGCCAAAUAUGUCCAACAUGGCAGCUAGAGCUUGCUGAGCUUGCUUACCUGAGAGUUCUUGUUCACAGAUAAAUAAGGAGCAGAUCUCUUUCCAACCUCUAAUGAAGCUAGCCCAGUAAGACACCUUAAGGCCUGGAAGUCAAUUACUUUAGCUUGGAAGCUAGCCGACCUUCAAAUUCUGAGGUUUAAGAAAGGUUUUAUAUAAAAAUGAUUACAAUUCUAUACUAAAUUUCCAAAUAAGAUUGACCAUAGAUUUAGGGUGAAGGAACCCAGAAGACAUCUAGUCCAACCUAUGCAUUUUACAGAAAUGGAAAAUCUAAAACCCAGGGACUUGCCCAGAGACCCAAAGGGAGUAAGUCAGAAGCAGCCUCCGAACCAUCUGCCUCUAGAGAUAGCGAAUGCUCUUUCCACUACGGCAUGAAGACAUUGAGAGGCAAAAUAUAACUAUUUUUACAUGUGAGAACUUUGUGUUCCUGCCAAAUCUGAAGACUUAACAUGAUAUCAUUGUGAGCAGUAUGAUUGAGACAACAGCACACAUGGCUGCCUCUAUGAGCACUACUACUAUCAUCCUAAGGAUUUAUUUACCAUGAGAGUUUAUAUAUGACUACCCUUUGGAAGCAGCAAGGUCUGCAUCCCCAGCAGCUGAAACAGCAGAGCCAGCACUGGCAGUAACAGAGUUGGUACCACCCAUGGGAAUGGAGACCAGGUUACAGCUUUCCUGAGCAAUAACACCUUUUAUGUUCUUGACACUAAGUUCACUGAUGACCUUGUUGAGCUGCUUCUAAUCCACCUCAGUUCCCAUACUGUCCAGGAUCUUCAGGUCCUUGAAGUUGGUGGAAUCAUUGCUACCAAGUACAGCCAAAAGGCAGGCUGCCACAUAGCUCAUCUUGGUGGUCUUGGCUCUGCUCAGUCUGGUCCAGGGGUUACAGGCUGGCACAGCAGAAGCUAUGGAAGCAAUGGCAGGCACAGAGAGACCAAUCUCUGUGACAUCAAUGCAGAUAAAUAAGGAGGUGAUCCAAUUAAUUGUUUUAUUUUUUAUUAAACCCUUAC